rnacentral:rRNA from 1 species
GCAAAUAUCCGUACCCCGGUGAGUUUUGCCCUGAAUUUCCGCAAGCUGGGAAAAAAAGGAGCAGGUAUAAAGCACACUAAAACUAAAUCAGUAGCUAAAAACAUCAAGUCUGACCACACCCCCACGGGAUACAGCAGUGAUAAAAAUUAAGCAAUAAACGAAAGUUUGACUAAGUAAUACUAAUCUAGGGUUGGUAAAUUUCGUGCCAGCCACCGCGGUCAUACGAUUAACCCUAGUUAAUACAAAACGGCGUAAAGAGUGCUAAUACCCUUAAUCAGGUAAAACUAAAGUCUAAUUAAGCUGUAGAAAGCACCAAUUAGAGCGAAAAUAAACCACGAAGGUGAUUUUAUCAACACUGCAGCACUAAAGCUAUAGAACAAACUGGGAUUAGAUACCCCACUAUGUAUAGCCGUAAACUUAAAUAGAUUAAAUAACAAAUCUAUUCGCCUGAGGACUACAAGCAACUGCUUGAAACUCAAAGGACUUGGCGGUGCUUUAUACCCACCUAGAGGAGCCUGUUCUAUAAUCGAUAAACCCCGAUCUACCUUACCACUUCUUGCUAAUUCAGCCUAUAUACCGCCAUCCUCAGCUAACCCUAAAAAGGAACAUUAGUAAGCACAAUCAUUAUAAUCUAAUAAAAAAGUUAGGUUAAGGUGUAGCCAAUGAAGUGGAGUGAAAUGGGCUACAUUUUCUGGUAACAGAACACUACGAAGUUCUCUCUGAAACACAGAGAAUGAAGGAGGAUUUAGAAGUAAGUUAAAAAUAGAGUGUUUAGCUG